GAUGAAGAACGUAGCAAAAUGCGAUACUUGGUGUGAAUUGCAGAAUCCCGUGAACCAUCGAGUUUUUGAACGCAAGUUGCGCCCGAAGCCUUUUGGCCGAGGGCACGUCUGCCUGGGCGUCACGCAUCGCGUCGCCCCCCACAAUUCUCCGUAAAGGGAACAUGUGUUUUGGGGGCGGAUAUUGGUCUCCCGUGCUCAUGGCGUGGUUGGCCGAAAUAGGAGUCCUUUCGAUGGACGCACGAACUAGUGGUGGUCGUAAAAACCCUCGUCUUUUGUUUCGUGCUGUUGCUCGCAAGGUAAACUCUUNNNNAACCCCAAUGUGUCGUCUCUUGACGACGCUUCGACCGCGACCCCAGGUCAGGCGGGACUACCCGCUGAGUUUAAGCAUAUCAAUAAGCGGAGGA
rnacentral:misc_RNA from 1 species